UAAAUAAGGAAGGAAUCCUUCGGAUAAGGUAGGAACCUUUUGAAAUCCAGAUUGUCUGCUCUGUUUAAACCUGGGAACGCCCAGAGUUACCCUGUAGGCAUGGGACAGGGACAGAGCUCGGGAGGAAGGGCACAGUGUACGCUCCUAGAGUGUAUCCUAGCAAAUUGGAAGGUAUUUAGAUAGGAUCCGAUGACCAAGAAUAAAUUAAAAUGAUACUGUACAGUUGACUGGCCUCAAUAUCAACUAGAGGACGAGGAGCGGUGGCCAC